GACCAGCUAGCCCAACUGGCCAGAGCAGCGGGCCUUUAACCCGCAGGUUAUGAGUUCGAAUCUCAUGCUGGUCA
rnacentral:tRNA from 1 species